AGAAGGAAGAUGUCACCAGACAAAAGAAGUCUAAUGGGAGGAAUCCGUGGAAUUUUCUUUUGCAUGCUUGUGUAACACUCGUGAAGCAGCAAAAGAAGAUCCACGUUAUUCCAGAAAUUAAUGCCAGCGAAGUCAAUCGUGUACAUCAAGUUAGCACAAUUUCUUUCUGAUGGUCCUGAAAAUAUAGGGGGACUUGGAGUUAACACCUGUGAUGCAGAAACUAAUCUGCCAUUCAUUUGAUGUGCCAUGUUGGUCAAAUAUGUUAAGCCCACACUUCCUGACUUGUUCUUCAUGAAAUGGGAAU
rnacentral:lncRNA from 1 species